rnacentral:rRNA from 1 species
UUGGAGGGCAAGUCUGGUGCCAGCAGCCGCGGUAAUUCCAGCUCCAAUAGCGUAUAUUAAAGUUGUUGCAGUUAAAAAGCUCGUAGUUGAAUUUCGGGAUCAGCAAGUUGGUCGUGCCUCUGGUACGUACUGGCUUUACUGGUUCCUCCUUCUUGAAGAACUGUAAUGUCAUUAAUUUGGUGUUGCAGGGAAACAGGACUGUUACUUUGAAAAAAUUAGAGUGUUUAAAGCAAGCUAACGCUUGAAUACAUUAGCAUGGAAUAAUGAAAUAGGACGUUUGAUCCUAUUUUGUUGGUUUCUAGGAUUGACGUAAUGAUUAAUAGGGAUAGUUGGGGGCAUUAGUAUUCAAUUGUCAGAGGUGAAAUUCUUGGAUUUAUUGAAGACUAACUACUGCGAAAGCAUUUGCCAAGGAUGUUCUCAUUAAUCAAGAACGAAAGUUAGGGGAUCGAAGACGAUCAGAUACCGUCGUAGUCUUAACCAUAAACUAUGCCGACUAGGGAUCGGAUGAUGUUAAUUUUUUAAUGACUCAUUCGGCGCCUUACGGGAAAC